rnacentral:tRNA from 1 species
GGUGCCAUGGUCUAGUGGUAUGACGAGACAUUGUGGUGUACUAUUCUGUCUUAGCCCUGGUUCGAUUCCGGGUGGCGCCA